rnacentral:rRNA from 1 species
UACGAAGGGGGCGAGCGUUGUUCGGAAUUACUGGGCGUAAAGGGCGCGCAGGCGGUCCUUCAAGUCAGAUGUGAAAGCCCCGGGCUCAACCUGGGAACUGCAUUUGAGACUCGAGGACUUGAGGACGGGAGAGGAGAGUGGAAUUCCCAGUGUAGAGGUGAAAUUCGUAGAUAUUCGCAAGAACACCAGUGGCGAAGGCGGCUCACUGGCCCGGUACUGACGCUGAGGUGCGAAAGCGUGGGGAGCAAACAGG